rnacentral:rRNA from 1 species
UUAAAUUGAAGAGUUUGAUCAUGGCUCAGAUUGAACGCUGGCGGCAGGCCUAACACAUGCAAGUCGAACGGUAACAGGAAGCAGCUUGCUGCUUCGCUGACGAGUGGCGGACGGGGGAGUAAUGUCUGGGAAACUGCCUGAUGGAGGGGGGUAACUACUGGAAACGG